AGAGGGAUCCUCCUCUGUUCUCUCCUGACAGUUUCUUCACUUUCUUUUCCCCUUAAAGGUUUUUUUCUAUUUCUUGGGAGUUGUUCCUGAUCCGAUGUGAGGUCAAAGGUCAAAGGUCAGGGAUGUCUCUGUGGACAGAUUGUAAAACCCUCGGAGGCAAAUUUGUAUUUUGUGAUCAUGGGCGAUACAAAAUAAACAGAAUUGAAUUGAAAUCACCUGGGCGGCCCGGGGGAAAACUAUUUUUAUUUUUGUACCUUUAUAUAACCAGUUUAAAUCAAUUGAGAAGUAAUUCUCAUUUACAAAGAAGACGUGAACCGGAGGCGGUAGCACAGUCCACACAAGUGACACACACAGCACAGACACAACACAGAACCACACACACACGAGGAAAUGGCUGUGAACAACAUCGGUACAUUAAUAAACACGACGGACAACAAAAAGAAAAGCGGAUUACUGGAUAUUCUUUGUAAAAAUGGAACUUUAGUGUCAUAACACAUUUAUGUUUCCUGUGUUCUGGACAGCUGGCUCAUCUUCGGAUGUAACAUCGUAAACUUGUGACGCCGUUGCUUUAAAUAACCGUUUCCCCACCAACUCUCUCCUCUUUUGCUCCCGCCCGCCCGCAGACGCCCAGCGCCAUGUUCGCGGAGGUGCUGGUCGCCGUGGCGAUCGGGGGGCUGAUCCUCUUCCUGGUUCGGAGGAGCCCGACCCAGGUGCUGAAGACGGAGGAUGGCUGGUGGGGGGCCGGCGAGCCCCCCGGCGGCGGGGAGGACGUCACCAUCCGGCCCUUUCGAGUCGCCACCAGCGACGAGGAGCUGGAGGACCUGUACAGGCGGAUGGACCAGACGCGCCCCGUCCCCUCCCUGGAGGACAGCCAGUUUAACUAUGGCUUCAACUCCCGGUCCCUGGAGAAGGUGGUCUCCUACUGGAGACACGACUUCGACUGGAGGAGGCAAGUCGACAAGCUCAACCGGUACCCCCACUUCAAAACCAGCAUCGAAGGCAUCGACGUCCAUUACCUGCACGUGAAGCCCGAGAAGGUGCCAGAGGGAUCUGCCGCCAUUCCUCUGGUGAUGGUCCACGGCUGGCCCGGCUCCUUCUACGAGUUCUAUGGACUCAUCCCUCUGCUGACGGAACCGGAGGACCCACAGGACCUCGUGUUUGAGGUGGUGUGUCCCUCCAUACCGGGGUACGGCUUUUCAGAAGCGCCGCAUAAGAAAGGUUUUGAUUCGAUUUGUGCGGCACGCAUCUUCCACAAACUGAUGAAGCGCCUGGGCUUCCAGAAGUUCUACGCUCACGGAGGAGACUGGGGCUGGCUGGUCACGACCAACAUGGCUCAGCUGGCGCCGGGGAUCGUCAAAGGCUUGCAUGUGAACUUUGCCCCGCCCUCCAAACCGGGCCUGCGCGUGGCCUUAUCCAUCAUGCUCGGCCGUCGGUUCCCCAAGAUGUUCGGCUUCACCGACACGGACGUUCAGCGCCUCUUUCCCUGCACGGAGAAACUGGUGGUGGAGUCCAUCAAGGAGUCCGGCUACAUGCACAUCCAGGCCACCAAGCCCGACACCGUGGGCCGAGGACUGAACGACUCCCCGGUGGGUCUGGCUGCCUACAUUCUGGAGAAGUUCUCGACGUGGACCUGCCGCGACUUCAGGAACCUGGAGGACGGAGGACUCACCAGGAAGUUCUCCCUGGAUGACCUGCUGACCAACGUGAUGAUCUACUGGGUCUCUGGCUGCAUCGUCCCCUCCAUGAGGUUCUACAAGGAGAACUUUAGCAAAGGCCUCAACCAGCCUCACUCUAAGAUGCCCGUGUACGUCCCCACCGGCUUCGCCUGCUUCCCCGACGAGCUGAUGCACACUCCCAAACUCUGGGUGGAGCAGAAGUACCGCAAGCUCGUGACUUUCACGCACAUGGCCCGCGGCGGCCAUUUUGCAGCCAUGGAGGAGCCCCGGCUGAUGGCCGAGGACAUUCAGAACUUCACGAAGACGGUGGAGAACAAGAAGAAGAAGUAGUCGUCAACGUGCAGACGACAAGUAGAAGCGUCAGGAUUCGUGAUUGAGACUGUUUACAGUACAAGACCGACCAGGCCCAGGACGUGAAGAAGAUCGAGAAGCUCCACGGGAAACUGAUGCGGCUCAUGGUCUCCAAGGAGACGCACAGCGGCUCCUUGGAGACGGACUGAAGCGCUCCGCGGGCCGCGGCCUUCUAAACCGAGCGGACUGAGUUCAGUGGACACGUUGGAGCACCGGGGAGCCCGGGCGACGGCAACGUGGCGAGAUUGAUCCGGCUGCCUACGCUGACGCUAAUACCUUUAGGGACGCGUCACGUAUCCUGUGUGUAUUUUACUCUCGGGACUUUUUUUGAUACUUUUUUCAUUAAAAAUCCAGGGAUUUUUCCUUUUUACUCAUCAGGUAUUGUGAUCUCGUCCCUGAUGGUAUUACUGUAACGUAGUCGGUGUAGGUUGCUUUGGAAAUGUAGAGGGAGGAGGUGAUGGGUGGGGGGGGUAAUGAGGGAUGAAGUGUCCACAAAUGACAAAUCCUCUGCUGCUGCAGUGAGCACCUUUGGCAUCUUGAUUUUAAUUUUUUUUUCACAGGAGCGAGUGUUUGAUUUCUGUUUUAAAAAAGGACGUGUAAUGAAGACAUCGCAUGUAUUUUCUUUUUUUCUAUUUACGUGUAAGCAGCUAUGUUGGAUGACAUCUCAGCACGGCCGCUGUGUUCCUGUCGUCUUUCAUCGUGGAGUUGCGCCUCAUGAAUGAAGCAGGACCAUCUGAUUUACUAACCUCACUGUGGAGGACCUACACACACACACAUGCAUACACACACACCUCCAAAUGCCAUUUUUCUUCUGAGAAUCAUUACGUUACAUGUUAAAUAAAUGUUUAUUUACCCCAGUACA